AAGAAAGGCAAAGAGAUGGAUGGUGAAGGUAGUAGUUCGAAGGAUAGAUUGGCAGAUGACAUUAUAAGCACUGUUCGAACAAUGCAGUCACAUUACAAGCCUACAGAAGAUGAGGUGGAGGUGCUAUUAAAGGAUGGAUAUCGGUCAGCUAAAGGAAUGGCUAAUUUAAUGGGCGAUGAGAAACAAGUGGAGUUCAGUAACCAGGAUGAUUCCACAUCUGCUGGGACUAUAUCUAAUCAGAAUGUGAAGGAAGGGGGAUCUGGAAAUAAGCAUCGAAAGAAAACCUCAAAGUUUCAUAGGGUGAGGCUGGGAGAUGGCUCAAUGGCAGGCCCUCUGGAUCUAAAAAAUUCUGAUACUGAUCCCAAUCCCAAUCCCAAUCCCAAUCCAGCUGAUGACCAGUCAGAUGGAAGCAAUAAAGCAACUGGAGGAUUAUCUGUUCGUGGUGUUUGGCAGAAAAGGGGAGGUCAUAAACUCUUUUAACAAUCUGAUUUUGGUAGAUGCUUCAUGGAGAAGCAAGGCAAUGCUUAAUAUACCUGCAGUAGGUGGAAAAGUUUCCAGUGAUUGCUUUGAUUGCAAUUAUUUGGCAACAUCAAAUCCUUUUUCAGUUUGCUUAUUUUCGUGUUCAGGUGAUGAAUUUUGUGCCCUAUUUCUGUCUCUCAAUAUUUUUUGACAGCGAGUUUGCUUGAAAUGGUUAGCCCUUUGUUAUAUCUUGAUGAUCACAAAUGUUUAUUAACAGUACACAAAAGAAAGAAUGUGGAGUUCUUAAUGAAGACAUUGCAGAAAUAUUAUGUUGCAAAAAAUUCAUCACCUGAACACGAAAAUAAG
rnacentral:misc_RNA from 1 species